GCCAGAUGCACCCCGGAGUGGUUUUCACUUUUGACAUGUGGACCACUGCCAUCUUCCUAAAGAUGGACCUCAGAGCACGAGGUAGUGAGAAAGCACCAAAAGGAGAUCUGACCCUGGCAGAAGUCCUUGUCCAGGUUAUGUGGCAACCUCAGAAAGCAAAGAAGUAUUAGCAGCGCCACUGGAUAGCGGAGAACCUCAGGCAUUGAGCCUCGGAGCUGCUGAUCUCAUUGCUCCUGAGUGGAAAUCUGGAAACCUCCUGUGAGCCCCAGUGUCCAGGUUCAACACUUCUUUGGGGGAACUUCAUCUUGAUCUCUGCUGUACCCACAGUGCCCCCUGGGUGUCUUGUCUAAAGUUGGUACCUACUGAAUGAAAGAAUAAAUGAACCAGUGUGCUAUAGAGUUGAGUUCAGCCCGAGCGGCUCCAUGUUGGGGAAACUUUUUGUAGUCUAACAACAAAUGCUGUCACAUGAGAUACUGA